rnacentral:lncRNA from 1 species
CACCCCCACAGCAACACACAACUGUCACACACACACUGUACAUAUACACAAGCACACCCCCACACAACACACAACUGCCACACACACACACUGUAAUAUACACAUGCACACCCCCAAAGCAACACACAACUGCCACACACACUGUACAUAUACACAAGCACACUCCCACAGCAACAUGUACUUACAAACACAAAGAAAUGGAGGCUUGGAGGGCCUCGACUGAGGAAAGGAGCGUGAAAGGGAAAUGUAUUGAAGAAGUGGGUGGAGCAGUGGUUCUUACCAUUCAGGGAACCUUGGCAUUAUGGGUAACUCACUAGAACACCCAUACUGUCCCCUGUGUGCUCACCCUCAGGGUGAGGUGCUGGGAUUGCCAUUCUUAACAGUUUCUUUGGGUGGCUGUUGGGAUUGGGGACCUUUGGAGUUUUACUAUUUCUGUUUUGACCCCAUAUCUGUAAUUUGGUAGUCGGGGAUCACAAUUUUACAAAACAUUUGUACUCUAGGCUCAAUCACACACAAAACAGAGAUAAUGGUAAUUUAAUGGGUGUAAGGCUGAGCUGAUGUUCACAAACAUAUCUAGUGUAACAUUAAUUUAUCUAAGCACUCAGUUUCCUUCUUUUUUAUUUUUUCUUGGCAAGAACAAGCAUUCUUUAUUGCCUCCAUGGUCCCUUGUUAAAUUUACAUAACUUAGGUAAAACUGUUAUUUCAUUUUUUGUAUUAGAUAUUUUCUUUAUUUACAUUUC